rnacentral:lncRNA from 1 species
CUCCCUAAUAUUGCCUCUCCGCUGGAUACUACACUUUUCUGGGAAAAGUUGCCCGCUAUAUUGUUCUGAGAUGACUGCUCUCUGUGACCUCGAUCCUGCAAAUAAUUGCUAUCAACUUUAAUACUAGAUUGAAUGAAAUUACUCUUCACGGAAUUUACCAAACUCAUUUUGUUGAAAUUGUUAUCAUGAUCUGACUCUUAAUUUUCCUUUGCAUAACAACAUGAAUCCUAUGACAAACUUGCAUAAUGGGUCUUUGUGCUUUUAUGCUGAUGCAAAUGAGAAUUAUAAGGCAAAGGUGAUUGAACACAGAAUUAUACAAUAAUCUUCAGCUGUAUUGAAAUAUUCCUAAACUUUCUCAGUGGUCUGAGAAAUGUCCUGCCAGUACACUUAUUUAUUUGUGUGAUAGCAGUGCAAUGCAGUUGCUGUGGAUUGACAGGAAAGGGGCCCACCUGGACACUGUGGCCUGCCAAAAGCCAGAGUGAAAGGCAGCCUGCGAACUAAAACACGGACUUGUGUGGGCCAAGGGAAGAUUUAUGGGAGGAGGUAACAGACCCCUUUCCUAUGAUGUGUGAGCUCUGGCCAGAAACGCCUUUUCUCGGAUAACCACAGAAGUGGAGAAAGAAGGUGAAACGAAACAAAGGAUCUGAGAAGCUGCAAAGCGUUAGAAAAGGUGGAUUCAGGACACGGUUUGCGUGGCUGCAAGAUUGCUCUAUCUGAGCGGAGGCUCCUCACAUAGAUCAAACUGCAGCUGAAGAACUUGCUGCGUUUUGUUGGGUUGAUGUUGAAGAAGGAAAGCUGUUAUCAAUCGUGAACGCCUUCACGUCCAUACUGGAGGGAAAAUCAAUUCUCUUGUUCUGCAUAGUUUUUCAGCUACUUAGCAGUAGUGAAAGCAAACAGAACACAAACCUAUUUUUGCUGUGUUGAAGUCCUCACUCCGAAGGUGAGUUAGCAGCAGCAAUGCUGUGGCUUUGGUGAAACUGAAAUUUUAAGCUACUUUUGGGUGGAGUUCAAAAAUGGAGUGUUCCCUUCUACUACAGCUCACCUCUCAACUUCAGAGAAAGCAGCAUGCUGUGACAGAGUGGACGUUUUGAUCUCUGAGAACUUUCUUCACAUUUCAGAAAAUAACAGUGACCUCUUUGGAUCUUUAAACUACAGUCUAGAGUGAGCAGACUUCAGAAGGCUCAGUCAUGUAACGACUACGUUCGUCAUUAAUGCAAAGCAACGUGACAGGAAAAUUGGAAGAAUAUGGGAAAACCU